rnacentral:rRNA from 1 species
GAUGAACGCUGGCGGCGUGCCUAAUACAUGCAAGUCGGACGGAGCGCUUCGGCGCUCAGUGGCGAACGGGUGAGUAGCACAUGGGCAACCUGCCCUUCAGAGGGGGACAACAGCUGGAAACGGCUGCUAAGACCGCAUAGGCGCGGACGGGACAUCCCGUCCACGUUAAACGUCCUUUAGGGGACGGCUGAAGGAUGGGCCUGUGGCGCAUUAGCUAGUUGGUAAGGUAACGGCUUACCAAGGCGACGAUGCAUAGCCGAGUUGAGAGACUGAUCGGCCACAUUGGGACUGAGACACGGCCCAA